rnacentral:rRNA from 1 species
UACGUAGGGCGCAAGCGUUGUCCGGAAUUAUUGGGCGUAAAGAGCUCGUAGGCGGUUUGUCGCGUCUGCUGUGAAAACCUAAGGCUCAACCUUGGGCUUGCCGUGGGUACGGGCUGACUAGAGUGCGGUAGGGGUGACUGGAAUUCCUGGUGUAGCGGUGGAAUGCGCAGAUAUCAGGAGGAACACCGAUGGCGAAGGCGGGUCACUGGGCCGCAACUGACGCUGAGGAGCGAAAGCAUGGGGAGCGAACAGG